AGCUAGCUAACUACAUCACGUUUUAAUUCAUCCACAUUCUUUAGUUUUGAUAUUUAAUCAGGCUGAUUUUAUUCGUCUGAUAGUUCAUCACGUAGUUCUGAUUUAACGUAACAAAAUAUGUUGCAUUAGUCUGCACGUGUAGGAUCUUAUUCCAAAAUUGAAACUAUUCGAUCGUAUUACGUAUUACGUCCUAUCUACGCUAGGUAUGAUUGGCUAAGGAAAGAUGGCUUCGAAAACUGAAAUUACAGAAGAAGAGAUUAAAGAGCUUGUUGAAAGAAAAUAUAAGGCAACAGAUAUGGCGGAACAAUUUAAUGUAUCAGUUGGAACUAUUUAUAGACAUCUGCGCUUAAUGAAAAUUUCAUGAAGAGUACAUCGGCAAUCCCAGUACAUCGUAGAUCUAAACAAGAUAACGAUAAAAGUGGUGUCAAAGUCCCCAGUCCCCACUGUUUCUAGGAUUGAUGGCGUUAGUUGCCAGGUCAAUAUCCGUGGGCAACAAGAUCGUCUUCAACUUCUCAAAGACGCUGUCACGUAUUUUUGGACGUGUAACUCAUACGCCUGUGGAUUCGGUGGUGAUGAAAGUGGAAACAUCGUUCGAUCAGGUGUGGAUUGUUCGGGACCACAUUGACAAAAUCCUCACAGCCACUGGUGCUGGAAUUCGCUGCCCGGGUGUUUCAGUCCUGAAGGAACUGCCGAAAAAUAUUACGUUUGGAUUCGUGUCUAUGGAUCAAGUUUACAUGGCCAGUUCUAUGCUAAAUGGACUGUUACCGAUGCAGUUAAUGGUUCAAAUUCCUUCAGAUCGCUUCAACCGCCAUCUUUUAGUUAGAGCGCAAAAUGUUGACGUAAUGUUUCACGUGGAACACUCCACUUCAGAUAUUCUGACCAUAAGACUCACCUCGUAUGAAUGGAACACACGAAAUUUGUUUGAUGUGCUCAAGUGUUGUCUGGAGUUGCCCAACAAUGUUUGAUGUCUUCCUCGAAUAACGGCAAUGUUCCUCAGCAAUCGAGUAUGAUCGUGAUGGAUGUUCCACGAUCUGUCGACACUACCAGCCCGGAUUCUAGCACUACAAACGUCCUACAGCGAUACUAGUCCUACAAACUCUUCACCCCGUUUUGCCAACGAGUCCUCCAUACCAGCAUCACUGGCAGCCUCUCGAUUCGACCAGAAUUCCUCGCGUCAUUUAUCACAGUUUUUGGAGACAAUUGGUUUGUCCCAUUAUUCAGAUCUAUUUAUUCAAAACGAAAUCGAUCUGGUGAUGUUUACCACUUUGAAAGACGAGGAUUUAGUCAGCAUGUAGGAAUCCGUUCGUUCGGUGCGAGAAAAAUGAUGCUAAUGCUAUUCAAGAAUUACGCCGUUGAUAUUUUCACAAGGAACUUGGAAUCGCGUUGACUCCUGUUAAAUAAUGUGCAUAUGCGCUCACUUACCUUUAAACUUUUGAUUUGUUCUUAUUAGUUUUUUUUUGUGUUUUAUUAAUUUUGAUGUGU